rnacentral:rRNA from 1 species
UACGUAGGCAGCGAGCGUUGUUCGGAUUUACUGGGCGUAAAGAGUGCGUAGGCGGUUUUCUAAGUUUGGUGUGAAAUCUCCCGGCUUAACUGGGAGGGUGCGCCGAAGACUGGAAGGCUUGAGUAUGGGAGAGGUAAGCGGAAUUCCUGGUGUAGCGGUGAAAUGCGUAGAUAUUGGGAGGAACACCAGUGGCGAAGGCGGCUCACUGGACCGAAACUGACGCUGAGGCGCGAAAGCGUGGGGAGCAAACAGG